rnacentral:rRNA from 1 species
CAGUCGCCACGGGAAUACGUAGGGUGCGAGCGUUAAUCGGAAUUACUGGGCGUAAAGCGUGCGCAGGCGGUUGUGUAAGACAGGUGUGAAAUCCCCGGGCUUAACCUGGGAACUGCGCUUGUGACUGCACAGCUAGAGUAUGGCAGAGGGGGGUGGAAUUCCACGUGUAGCAGUGAAAUGCGUAGAGAUGUGGAGGAACACCGAUGGCGAAGGCAGCCCCCUGGGCCAAUACUGACGCUCAUGCACGAAAGCGUGGGGAGCAAACAGGAUUAGAUACCCCCGUAGUCCCUGUCUCUUAUAA